GAAAAUGAACCCUUAUCAAUAUUCUUUCAUUUGAAAUAUAAAGAAAAUUGGGUACCUUCCAUUAGUGAGAUCUUUGAGCCUAAAUUAAAAGCCAAGAAAAGAAAACUUCUUUGGAGGCAAAAUAUUUAGUAGAAGGACUCAAAUUCUAUAUAGGAAGCGGGAGGGGUCAGGUUGUAUGGGUGGGCUAGAGGAACUUGUCUUUAACUUUGCCUAAGUAGUUGUAAAUGACAAAAAAAUGCAUAUGAGGUAGUACUGAGUUUUAGGAAUCCAGAUCUAUAUCCCUUCUUCCCAUCCCCCUCUAGUCAACCUUGGAGCUACCAUUACUGACCCAAUUAUAGUAAUGUAGAUUACACACACACACACACACACAUACACACACAGAGUACAUUUAGACUUGUACUUAUUUGAAAUGCAGUGAUUUUUUUUAAACAAGAUGAAUUGAAAAUUUAUAUAUCUUGCAUAGAUAAGAUCCUAAGUGAUAUAAUUGAGUUAAUUAUAAUGAGAUUUGUAUUUAUCAAAUUAAGUUUAAAAUUCAUAGAAUAAAUUAUCCAUAAAAACUUUCUGAUAAGAAAAUGUAUUACUGCCCAUAAUUACUUUUAAUAAUUUAAGAAAUUUUAGUGUUCCAGUGCAGCUCAGAUGUGUUCUUGAAGCUUGCUAGAUUAUCCUGUAAUCUGUAUCCUGUAAUAAAAAAAAGAGCAGUUAUAAGGAUCUGAGUAUGAUUACAGAUCAACAACCUACUCACUUUGUAAUUAUUAACUAACAAGUUAAUAAAGCAGGUACUCAAAAGUUCCCUUUCUUUCGCUUCCUUAGUCUUGAAGGAGUCCCUAAUUAAUUCUUGUGGUUUUCAGGAUCUCCCCAGGGUAACUGCCACAGCCCAACAAAACUGUUCCUGUUUCUGUAUAACACUAUUGUCUGUCAUCUUGGAGUCACAUUACCCAAAGCCUACUAUUAAUGGCCUGGCAUUUAUAGCUUAAAUUUCUUAUUUCUCAUCCCAAAAGUAAUGUAUGUGUAUACAGUGUAUGUACAUGUGUACCUAUGUGCAUGUGUUUAUGGCGGGGGGGUAUGUAUCAGCCAUAUAAGUUGGUGUUUAGAAAGUUGUUUUGGUGGCAAGACACCAGAUUCCACCCAGCACAACAGCCUCAAAUUUUGGAACCUGGUCAUAUAACCUCAACAUAACAUAUAAGGAUUCUGAUUACAUAAACAUAAUUUUUCAGAAUCAUACUUACUUCAAUAUUAUUCACAUACUCACCUCUACAUAUAAUAAAAAGAAUAACUACUAAUUACUAUUAUGCCAAAGACUAUUAUAAGUACUCCAGGGACAUUAUAUUAAACUUCCUCCCAACAACAACUAGAUAUGCACUGUUACUCCCACUUUAUAGAAGAGGACACUGAGAGAUUGAGAUGAAAAAUAAUCAUUAAUGUAUUUCAUGACCAAAUAAUAGGACCUGGACUGGAGCACUUAUUAACUAACCCCAGAGCUAGCAACAUUGUUGAUAUCAACUUGACAUUUGUAUUGAAACAGGAUUAAAGUCUUAUGAACUUCUGAGUUUUUAUGCUAUUUAUAGUACCAACUCAGCAUUGAAGAUGUAGUAGAACUUUAUCAGAUGCUUAUUAAAUUGAGUAUGUAUAAGGUAUUUUAUUUACAUAAUAGUCACAUCACUAAUAUAUGAAAUUAUCAUGUACUAACUAGUCAUUCAUAUACAUUAUGAAUCUUCCAAAUAAUGUUUUAGAGUCUAAAUUAAUCAAUAUAUCCCUUUCCCCUCAUCUGCAGCAACAUAAAAUGGAAAUAAAACUAUUCUAAAUAAAAUCUUAA
rnacentral:lncRNA from 1 species